UAGCAAUGUUGAAACACCGGGCCUCGUAAGAUCGCUGAAAUUAAGCAACGUCGAGCCUGGUCAGUACCUCGAUGUGUGAGUGCUUUGGAAUACCAG